AUGAAGAGGCUGCUGUGCUCUCUGCUGGGGCUUCUGUGCACCCAGGUUUGCUGGGUGAAAGGGCAGCAAGUGGAGCAGAGUCCUGUGUCCUUGGUUCUGCAGGAGGGAGAGAAUGCAACACUGCAGUGCAACUUUUCCAUGGUUUUGAACACUGUGCAGUGGUUUUACCAAAGUCCUGGGGAACGUCUCGUCAGCCUGUUUUACAAUCCUUCUGGAACAAAGCGGAGUGGAAGACUGAUUUCCACAACCAUCACUAAGGAACGUCAUAGCUCUUUGUCCAUUUCCUCCUCCCAGAUCACAGACUCAGGCACUUAUCUCUGUGCUAUGUAUGCACAGUGA